CCAGUGACCCCGAGAUGCUGGCGGACCCCCGACCUGGCAGCAUCCCGGGGUCUUCCA
rnacentral:sRNA from 1 species